AGAGUUUGAUCAUGGCUCAGAUUGAACGCUGGCGGCAGGCCUAACACAUGCAAGUCGAGCGGUAACACAGGGAGCUUGCUCCUGGGUGACGAGCGGCGGACGGGUGAGUAAUGUCUGGGAAACUGCCUGAUGAAGGGGGAUAACUACUGGAAACGGUAGCUAAUACCGCAUACGCCCUACGGGGGAAAGCAGGGGACCUUCGGGCCUUGCGCGAUUGGAUAUGCCCAGGUGGGAUUAGCUAGUUGGUGAGGUAAUGGCUCACCAAGGCGACGAUCCCUAGCUGGUCUGAGAGGAUGACCAGCCACACUGGAACUGAGACACGGUCCAGACUCCUACGGGAGGCAGCAGUGGGGAAUAUUGCACAAUGGGCGCAAGCCUGAUGCAGCCAUGCCGCGUGUAUGAAGAAGGCCUUCGGGUUGUAAAGUACUUUCAGCGAGGAGGAAGGCAUUAAGGUUAAUAACCUUGGUGAUUGACGUUACUCGCAGAAGAAGCACCGGCUAACUCCGUGCCAGCCGCCGCGGUAAUUC
rnacentral:rRNA from 1 species